ensembl:lncRNA RFPL3S RFPL3 antisense
GUUUUUAGUAUGUCUUUCCUCUCUCCUUUUUCAUGAAAUGUGUAUUCAGUUUAGUAAAUUUGGAAUAUGUCAUUUAUAUUCACAUAUUAACUUUUUGAAAAGAAGUAAGAAUGUGUAUUGUCUAUGUGUCAGUGUGUGAAACAAAACACACUUAUUUUUAUGAUUGGGGUUUAUCCAAAAUGAUAGAGAUAACAAUUAUAGUCAAUCACCCAAACCACUUACCUUUCCAAAGGUAAAUAUAAUCAAGUGUAAUCAUUUUUUCUCAUCCAGAGAGUAGUUCAUAUUUCAACAUACAAAGAUAGAGAAGUGAAAUGAAUCGGUAAACACUAUUAACCAAGAACAUACAGAUUUACUCACACCAGGAAACACGUAGGUCACAUACAUAUAUGUAAAGAUACAUUUAAAAAUAAUAAGAUGAUAAUUGUACAAGUUUGCAUAUAAAGUGUAACUUUGAAAAACUGUUAAUACUGUUUCUGAUGGAUUGUGUGACUUAGUUCUCCUGACCUAUCCUUCAGAGUUCUUUCUAAGGAGGUUGUUCGUUCCAUGACUUGGAAACAAUCGAAAGUUAGAGGCACUUACAUGUGUUAAGAAUAAAUAAGGCAGCUGGGCGCGGUGGCUCAUGCCUGUAAUCCCAGCACUUUGGGAGGCCGAGGCAGGCAGAUCACCUGAGGUCAGGAGUUCAAGACCAGCCUGACCAACAUGGAGAAACCCCAUCUCUACUAAAAAUGCAAAAUUAGCUGGGCGUGGUGGUGCACACCUGUAAUUCCAGCUACUCAGGUGGCUAAGGCACAAGAAUCACAGAACACAGGAUACCACUUCACAAUUAGCCUCAGGUGUCACCCUUGUGGCAACUCUCCUGUACAGCUGGGUUAAAGAGCCUCGGUGCUCACAUGGGGUCAUCUCCUCACUCUGCCUUCCUUCACUGUGGGUAGCUUGGGCUGAAACUAGACCUCAUAUGGCUAGGUGAACUAGACCUGGCUGAAACUAGGCCCCCUCAUGCAAUGAUUGCAAACACAAGGGAUAGGAAGGGAAGACUAAAAGGAAGAUCUUUGAUUUACAGUGGAUAUUUUAACAUGUAUUUCAGUAUUUUCCAGUUUUUAAUAAUUGAUUUAUAACAAAGAAUUGAGUAAAUAUAAUUAGCCCUGGUACCUGAUAUUGAAUUUAGUUCCUCAAUAAAAAUUUACACAUAAACAGGGGCUGAAUCCUAUACCCCAGAUGUUAAAUGUUACAGCAGCAGAUGGGGGUCUGUGGAGGUUGAAAGGGAGUUGGUCAAUAUCAAGGAGUCAGUGGCAGUUCUGCUGGACUUUAAAAUGGGCUGAGGGAGUGACAGGACUCUGUGGUUGAAUUCUAGCAUGCAUUUUAGUAGUUGCUCAUUUGAAGUUUGAGUAUUUCGUGUCGCUUUCAUCUGCUAUUACCUGGAAAGACAAAGGCUCUAUUUCUCAUUUCCUUUCUGCCCGUCUCUCUGCCUUCCUUGGUCCAUAGAAGAGGAUGGCCCAGGAGAAGCUCAAUUCAUGCUUGUUAACCAACCACAUCCAUAAGUUCUAGCCCUUUGUUCAUGUCACCACCAAUGAACUGACAGUCAUGUUGUGUCCUUUCAGUUCCCCCAGAAGAUCAAUGGAAGGUGGAUUCCAAAGAGUGGGCAAGUGAGGACCCCUUCUCUGUUACCAAGGUGACCCCAAGGAACACAGUAAAUGAAAUUUUAAGAAGAUAUAGCCUCUACACCAAGAGGCACAUGACACAACCUGGACUCUGGGCAAACCACCGGGUGCACUCACAUGAAGUGGCGGCUUAUUUGGCCUCCCCAGGACGGACUGGAGCAUCAGUAGUGCCUGAGUUCAUCAAAGGACAGAUGCUCAAGACACCUUGAUCACCAUUAGGUGGAAUUGAAGGAGCCAAAAAUGGGCGCAGUGGCUCCUCAGCAGAGACGCUCCUGAAUGUAUAGACAUGGGAACCACUUUCAGCAUCAAAAAAGGAAACGUUCUGCAUGCCCAUAUCCAGAAAAAUCCCCACUCGCUGUAACUUGCGGUCUACUAAGAGGAAAGUCAGCGGCACCGUGCUGGCAGAGAGGCGGCUUCCAUCCCUCAAACUCACAGUCCAGAAUCCAAGCUCUGUGGUCAGCUGGAUCUUCCCUUUGCAGUGAACAGAUUCUCUGCAGACUCCCAGGUCCCAUUCUGUGCUUGUUCCCACGUCCACCUCCCAGUAGUGGCGGCCACAGGUAAAGCGAGGGGAGCCCAGGAUGCAAACGGACACGUCAAAUCUCUCGGCAAGGUCUUGCCGAUUCUGUGUGAUGAGCCCACUUCGGACGCUCCUGAGGUCGUCAGAAAUGAGGAGGAAGUUGUUGGCUGUGUCGGCAUCCAAGGUCAUAUCCACUGUGAAAAGGAAAACAAGUUGCUCAGCAAGUGGACAGAAGCCAACCCCAUGCCUCUCUUCUACUUCAAAGGCCCAAAUAUCUCCUGACUUUAGUUUCUUUAAUUCUGUUUCUUCCUCCAAAAUCAAAACUUUUCAUGAGGAAACUUCCCUAUUUCAAAUUUUCAUAGGUAUGCUUUGUGGCAAUACGUGACUCUUAUUCACAGUAGCAAUUCUUAUUUUACUUUACGUCACGUGUUUGCUUCACUGAACUUUUCUUCAUUUAGAGUGGAGGGUCUCUGAAGGCAGACACCAUGCCCCCCUUUCUACCACCUUGAUGUGUGAACAAAUAAAUGAUAAUUAAGAC